GCCUUCCAUCAUGAUUGUGAUGCCUUCCCAGCUAUGUGGAACUAACAAUUGCAAUUCAAUACUGAGAGGAUUUCCAGAAGAAUUUCAUCAAAUAACAAGUGUGUUAUUCAGAGAUCCAUAAUGAUAUGUUCAGACCCAAGUUCAGACACUUCUUUGGAAUGAUUGUAGCAGAAGAUAAAUUCAAAACAGACAGUAAGAAUUUUUAUAAUUUUUAGUAAUAGUACUAUA
rnacentral:lncRNA from 1 species